UCGACAUACUGUCAAUACUUAGAUUUUAUUGAAUACUUACGAAGUGAAUAUGAUUUUUAGAAAUAUACAAGGGUGUUGGAGGAAAGGCUACCAGUCGGCGGUGAACAGUCGUGUUCAUUAGGAGAUGUGGCCCGUGUACGUCCCACUGCUGGCCAUGUCCGCUGUGUCGGCGAUAUCCGUCAUAUUUCUGUACUGCAAGAACCGAGGGAACAGCAGGCAAGGCUACAUGGACGUCGAGGAGAAACCCUCGGACGAUCUGUGCUACCAAUCUUCCUGACUUGUUGGCUUCAGCUGCCAUCAUAAGAUUACCAAGGCAAAGUGGGGCGACCGGGAGUAGCAACGAUAAACAAUGAAAAACAUGUUUUUGUAACAUUAUUUAUUAAAAUAUAUUCUACUAAAAUUCAUAACAUAGUAUGUACAUUUUCAACAGUACACCUCAAUAGGACAAUAAGGCACCUAUUUCUUAACUUAGAUAACAUAAAACCUACGACUUUUAAACCCAUAAAAUAUUUUAUGACAAUAAUUCAUACGCCAGAGUAACUUUCACCACAUAACGGUAUUCACCAAUCGAGUAACAAGGAAACAUAACGUAUCUACUUUGAGCAUUUAUUAACAAAUCUUUCAACUACAAAUAUAAACGGUGCCCACACAAUAUAAUAUGCAGGCACAUUACAAAAAUCACUUCUCUAACUCGUAUAGAUAUAUACUUCUAUUUAAAUAUAAUCGAGAUAAAAAUGCCUAUAAAAUCAUAUAUGUUCACUCCUAUCUAGGUUCAAUAACGAUUUCUAGUGAUUUCCUAUAAUACCAUCACCUACUUGUUACUAUCUUGGUAACUUACAUAUUCCAAAUACUAGAGCGAAAUACAAAAUUGUAGUGCUUAUUAAUUUCGACAUGACACCAAAUAAAUUACAUAUAAUCUAGUAAAUAGUAUAAAAAUCCAACAAGCAUAGGCAUGUAAACAAUUUCACGAAAUUCGUUACAAACAGCCGAAUGGAUAUACAGCACUUGUAGAAUCCCGCACCUACUCUUAAAGUAAAUAAUGUUUAUAUCAAAAUUGGCAAACGCUCAUAAUCCUACACCUACACAAAAACAAUUAUAUAAAAUACAGGCACAAAAAGUUAAGUCUAAAACAUCGUGUAUAUAAA